CAUAUCUCCUCCCUUCCGCUGGCGCUGAAACUCGAGAGAGAAGUGACAGGUAGGAAGACCGUUGUGUAGCUACGAGACCAGACAGACUCACAUAAGACAAGAAUGUCAAACUCAUGAAAGAAAAUGGUUCAUAGAAAAGUCGACAGUUGGUGAGAGAGACCGUUAUAAAAGUUUUGAUGGGAAGUUGCCAGAGAAAUGCAUAUUAGUUUGAGAAUACACUUUACAACUUCGAUGUGGAUCAUUUCAUAUUUAAGGUCACAAUGAGUGGACAGCAAACUUCUUUACACUUAAAAUUGUCAUAACAAAAAUGAAUUUAUAGCCCAUAUAAAAUACGUGGGGCAGUGUCAGAAUGAUUUGUCAACGGAAGGCGCUUGUCAUUGGAGGAUGAUCACUAAAUUAGAUCAGAAUACAUGACAGAAGGAAGUUGUGGAUGUGUUCAACGGGUCGAGACAUAAUACCCCCUUGAUCACAGACACUUUCUAUCCCUCUUCAAAUGAAAUAGCCUACAAUCUCAGUUCAUCAUGCAUAGAAGGAGGAUGCUUCGGGCACUCCCUGUUUUUAUAUUAAUGUUCUUCAUCGUUUUAAUCGUGGACUUUCAACUAAGGACGCGGAAUCUCCACAAACUCAAUUCUAUUCACAAUCCGUUCGGGGGAGACUUACUGCGCUCGAUUCAAGAGACGCCUCUCUCCGCGGCAAAGGAGCCACCAAAGCCGGCCAAGUUUCCUCGACAACCCGCCGCUGUCUCUACUAUGAACCAGACUGUUGGUGGCUUACAAGCGGAGAUACAGAGAAGGAGAGACAAGUUGAGGGCUUUGGAACAGAGAAGGGCUGUCAUCACUCCAUCGCUGUUGAGGUUAACGGACAUCUUCCUCGCGGUGAAGAGCACCGGGAGGUUCCAUGGCACGCGCCUCUCUCUCCUCCUCGAGACGUGGAUCUCCAAGACCAAGGAGCAUACGUUCAUCUUUACAGACACGGAGGAUGAAGACAUCAACUCCAGAGGUUACAAUGUGAUUGUGACAGAUUGUCCGUCGGACCACAGUCACCAGGCUCUGUCCUGUAAGAUGUCUGCUGAAUAUGACCACUUCAUGGCCUCCGAUAAGAAGUGGCUGUGUCAUGUUGACGAUGAUAACUACGUGAAUCCUGGAGCUCUUCUCUCCCUGCUCUCAGCCUUCCCCCAAGACGGUGAUGUCUACGUGGGCAAGCCCAGCCUCGACCACCCCAUCAAGGCCCAUGAACUACUGGAGGGCAACCAGACAAAAGAAGUGCAGUUCUGGUUUGCCACGGGAGGAGCAGGCUUCUGUCUGAGUCGCAGACUAGCUGAGAAGAUGGCUCCAUGGGCUAGUGGUCCCAGGUUUGAGCAGACGUCAGCAGUGAUCCGUCUGCCAGAUGACUGUACAGUAGGCUUCAUCGUAGAGAGAAGACUGGGGAUAUCCAUGGUCCACAGUUCAAUGUUCCACUCUCACCUGGAGAACCUGCUACUGCUGACGCCCAGCAAUAUACCUCUACAGGUGACUCUUAGUUAUGGGCUGUUUGAGAACAAGAUGAACAGUGUGGAGCUGAAUAGACUCUUCUCCAAGGAGGAUGAUCCCUCCAGGUUUAAGACGGUCCACUGUCUACUCUAUCCACUGACCAGCUGGUGCCCUUGAAGACUCCAACUCCCAGCAGCACCUGUGCCUCCUGAGACUUUCCCAAAUGGUGUCAGCACUUCCUGGAUUCUCUGGGUGUGUCUCAAUAAUCUCUCUUUUCUCCUGAAGUGUACACUCGUUUACUACUUCCAACAAAUCUAAAAGUGAUGGGUUGGUCGAGGUAUGGGCUAGUGGGAGUUUCACCCUUGCGUCUUACCCCGGUCAUUAACUUUGAAAUCAGUGUACAAACAUUGGGAGCAAGGAGAGAUAAUUGGGACACAGCCCUGGUUUUACAUGGAAAUAACAGGGAAAUAACAGGGACGACAAGCACUAGUCUGGUGCAGAAUUGACUUAUUCUAGGAGUUCUAGGAUCCCUCCAGAUCCCUUAACAAGACUAGGAGCCCUCCAGAACCCUUACCAAGACUAGGAGCCCUUCAGAGCCCUUAACAAGACUAGGAGCCCUCCAGAGCCCUUACCAAGACUAGGAGCCCUCCAGAGCCCUUACCAAGACUAGGAGCCCUCCAGAGCCCUUAACAAGACUAGGAGCCCUCCAGAGCCCUUAACAAGACUAGGAGCCCUCCAGAUCCCUUAACAAGACUAGGAGCCCUCCAGAGCCCUUAACAAGACUAGGAGCCCUCCAGACCCCUUAACAAGACUAGGAGCCCUCCAGAGCCCUUACCAAGACUAGGAGCCCUCCAGAUCCCUUAACAAGACUAGGAGCCCUCAAUCAAUCAAUCAAUCAAUCAAUCAAUCAAUCAAAUUUUAUUUAUAUAGCCCUUCGUACAUCAGCUGAUAUCUCAAAGUGCUGUACAGAAACCCAGCCUAAAACCCCAAACAGCAAGCAAUGCAGUUGUAGAAGCACGGUGGCUAGGAAAAACUCCCUAGAAAGGCCAAAACCUAGGAAGAAACCUAGAGAGGAACCAGGCUAUGUGGGGUGGCCAGUCCUCUUCUGGCUGUGCCGGGUGGAGAUUAUAACAGAACAUGGCCAAGAUGUUCAAAUGUUCAUAAAUGACCAGCAUGGUCGAAUAAUAACAAGGCAGAACAGUUGAAACUGGAGCAGCAGCACAGUCAGGUGGACCGGGGACAGCAAGGAGUCAUCAUGUCAGGUCGUCCUGGGGCACGGUCCUCCAGAGCCCUUACCAAGACUAGGAGCCCUCCAGAGCCCUUAACAAGACUAGGAGCCCUCCAGAGCCCUUACCAAGACUGCACUUGCAUAAUUUAUUUGCAGGGUCUUGACCUGACUGCAGUUCAGCAUCGUAACAGACUUCAAUGGACAAAUGCUCACCUUCGAUGGCCACUGGCACGCUGGAGAAGUGUGCUCUUCAUGGAUGAAUCCUGGUUUUAACUGUACCAGGCAGAUGGCAGACAGCGUGUAUGGUGUAUUGUGGCAUGAUAACGCACGGACCCAUGUCACAAGGAUCUGUACACAAUUCCUGGAAGUUGAAAAUGUCCCAGUUCUUCCAUGGCCUGCAUAGUCACCAGACAUGUCACCCAUUCAGCAUGUUUGGGAUGCUCUGGAUCGACGCGUACGACAGCGUGUUCUAGUUCCCGACAAAAUCCAGAAACUUCACACAGCCAUUGAAGAGGAGUGGGACAACAUUCCACAGGCCACAAUCAGCCUGAUCAACUCUGUGCAGAGGAGAUGUGUCGCGCUGCAUGAGGCAAAUGGUGGUCACACCAGAUACUGAUCCACGCCCUACCUUUUCUUAAGGUAUCUGUGACCAUAGGGUGCAUAUCUGUGUUCCCAGUCAUGUGAAAUCCAUAAAUCAGGACCUAAUGAAUUUAUUUCAACUGACAGAUUUCCUUUUCCUUAUAUGAACUAUAACAUUAAAAUCAUUGAAAUUGUU